rnacentral:rRNA from 1 species
CCUACGUGAGGCAGCAGUGAGGAAUAUUGGUCAAUGGGCGAGAGCCUGAACCAGCCAAGUCGCGUGAGGGAAGACGGUCCUAUGGAUUGUAAACCUCUUUUGUCGGGGAGCAAAAAGGCCUCGUGAGGCCACAAGUGAGAGUACCCGAAGAACAAGCAUCGGCUAACUCCGUGCCAGCAGCCGCGGUAAUACGGAGGAUGCGAGCGUUAUCCGGAUUGAUUGGGUUUAAAGGGUGCGUAGGCGGACUGGAAAUUCAGCGGUAAAAUCGAGAGGCUCAACCUCUUUCCGCCGUUGAAACUGUCGGUCGUGAGUGGGCGAGAAGUAUGCGGAAUGCGGGGUGUAGCGGUGAAAGGCAGAGAUAUCACGCAGAACUCCGAUUGCGAAGGCAGCAUACCGGCGCCCGACUGACGCUGAGGCACGAAAGCGUGGGUAUCGAACAGGAUUAGAUACCCGGGUAGUC